rnacentral:lncRNA from 1 species
UUACACUGCUGAUCCAAAAUUGGAGUGCAGAUCUGACAUUAACAAAGGAAAAUAUGGGCAUUCGAAACCGAUUUUGGGUGGAUUUGUCGACCUCCCGCAAUUUUGAAGCAGAUUUCAGUCCGAAUUGCAAUAGAAACUGCGAUCUGUCAAGGCUAAAGAAUCUUCAUAUAAUCAAUCCAGCUGCAAACGAACUACACGUAUACAAAGUCUACGAUAAGCUAUGUACUGGACUGGACACAUUGGCCCAAAGGAACCAAAAACAAAAAACGCCCGACUCUAUCAAGAAACGUGGUGGACGGACUGCAGGACGGCCUCGGCGACCAUCCCCAGAUGGUGCAGCGCGGCGGCGGCGGAGACAGGCACGCUGCCGAGCACGAGCGCGGCGACGGCGAUGGCGACGCUGGGCCUGGUGCCCAUGAGGGCCAGUUGCAGCGCGCCGACGAUGCCGGACACGUCGGCGACGUAGGCCGGGUAGUACCGCUUCUCCCAGGCCGCCCACCCCGCGGGCGCCUCGUAGUUGGACUCCGCCAUCCGCGCCUCCCGGAUCCGCCGCCGCAGCACGGACAUGCCCUCGUCCACCAGCGCGCCGCCGUACUGGCCCCGCCCGCCGCUCGCGCUCCGCCGGAACGCCGCGCAGCGCGUCGUCGGCGCGGCCGGUGAUCUCCGCCUCGCCGGCAGCGCUGGGCCGUGGCACGCCCCGUGCCGGAGCCCCGCCGGCGUCGUCGGAAGCGAGAUGGGUGAAGCAGCCAUGGUGAAUCAGCUCAAGAACUGAUCUUUUGUAACUCAGGCAAGAAAGAAAGCACUUCACAAAUCACACUACAGAAAUGGACCAAGGGAAGAAGAGCCAAUCAAAGCUGAUGGGUCGAGAGAAGAAUCACACGAAGAUGAUGAGAGUUUCUGAGCCCAGAUGGGCGUGCAUUUAUAGGCACCGGGGGGCCUCACGCGUCCUGAGGUAGACGAAGCCUAGUUUAAGAGGGCAAACGCGUGAUUAGUUCCCGCUCCAGCCAACCGGAGGCUGACGCGUGGAGGGAUCACACCAUAAGAAACUAGUACCACUACCAGUGCUAGUACUAUGGACGGUGAUCUGGACAUAGUAUAUUCGGCAUCGGCAUGGCCCGGACAAUCAUGAACAGAAACAACGCCUCUGCUGCCGCCUCCCCAGACCCCAUCAUUGAGCUGACUUCAACUGUUAACGUAGAAAACCCGUCUGGGCGGCGGAUUGUAUAUUGCUUCGUCCAUAAUGCUGGGAUACUCGCGCGGCCAGAUGCUGCGCAGAAGCCAGGACGGUGCAGCUUCCUUCUGCGGUAAAGAAGAGAAGGGUCAGAUAUGAAGGGAAAUUACUAGAUGGUAUAAGAUAUGGCUUCAAUUAGAAACCAGAUGUAAUUUAGAUGGCUGUGCGCAUAUUUUUUCGGUUAAUUUUGAUGGCUGUUGAUCAAUGGAACAGCUCGUGCAGAACAUUCGGUCAGGGCAUGGUCAAGGAGAUACUAGCAUAUGUUUCACGAUUUCUCCACCAAAUACCUGCUUCAAUGGUUCAGUAGGAUUUGGUGUAUUUUUGCAUCCACCAAUGUGUAUUAAUGCAAAUAUAAGGUACAGAGGAUCCUCUUUCCUAUGUUUGAACGAGGUCAUAGAAGGACUUUUAGGAGGUACGAGCAUAUGUUUCAUGCCUUCAAUACCAAUACAUCACCAGUUCAGCAGAGUACUCAUGAGAUAUGCAUAUGUUUCACGCUUCUGCUAUGAUUGUUUCAGAAUUUAGCUGAUACAUUUGAACUACAUCAUAAAGAUUUGGAUCCAAAUUCCCCACUAUCCAAAUAAGAAGGGGGCCUAAGAUGGGUUUUCAAGCUAUCAAUGUGAUCCACUCAAGUAACCAACGAUCUGUGAUGGUCAGCUCGGAUCAGCUCGACUAUAGCAAUGAAGAGAUGCAUGACUUCACAUAUGUAGCUAACAAGUUUCAGUCAGUGACAUGGACUACUGAGUUACCCAAAUUGUUAAGACUCAUUACUGUACUAUGAUUACGUUGCAGUAUGUUCCCACGCAAAGCCAUUUUUUAUCGAAUUGGGGCCAUUGCAAGAAAUGAUUGGUGCAAAGAUUCCCUACCUUAUUUUAUUUGUUGGAGGACAAGUCUCUGAUGAAAUGCUUAUUCCACCUGCUGUUUAUUUUGAUCAUCUUCCAGUGGGGGCAGGAGUGGCUGAUACUUUGGUCUGUUUUUCUUCAGAAGAAGGUAGGUUGACCAGUACCAGAACAUUAGAAUCCUGCCCUGUGCAACUAGCGUGUCUGCAAUUCGGAUCCCUCCUAAUGAAAACCUCUCCAGGGCCUGCCACAUAAAAAGUAACGCAUCAAAACUAGAAUAUUUCUUCAAAUAAAAUUAUGAAAUUUUUUAUGGCAGUUGGCUUGGAAUUAACAAGACAAAUAGAAGCUGGUAGGUUGACCAAUAACAACAAUUCAAUCUGCAGUACUUUUCCCCAAUAAAAAGCAAAUAAACACUAUAAUUUGUGGUUAUCAUGGGGUUAACAAAUACCCACAAUAAUUCUAUCCAUGUAUAACAAAAGACUUUAGUAUACAUCACAAAAUUUCAAGCCAAGUAAUUUACUAAUUUUCCCUUGAAUCUGACCAAGUUUUUUAAUGUUAGGGUAAGAAUUGUUUUUCUAGUGAAUAAUUAAUACCUGUUCACCAGUUUGAAUAUCAUAGGAAUGUUGUUGCUCAAAUUGCAGACCCUUGAACUCAUUGAUGCAAAGCCCUUGGAAGGCCCUGAAAAUUAAUGACAAAAAAGUAGUAUAAAGUUGUUAGGUAUGAUCACUAUGCUAGACAUAAAUUGAUAUCACAAGAAGAAAUGAAGAAUACCAUCUAAUGAGUGAUAUUCUUGGGAUCCAACGAAAUAUGACUGGAGUAUUGUCAGGGUUAACAUAGUAUCCUCCAAAUACAAUAAACACAGUCAUAAGGGAUGGCCCAAGAGCCAUUGCAGCUUCGGUUGUAGGAGCCAUUGCUCCAACAGUGAGACCCAUUGCUGAUGCAGCAAAUGACUCUACAGUCACAAUACCACAGAAUUUGGCGAAUCUGAUACAGAGUGUGAAAUAUUCUUUAGAUAAUCAUAAACAAAAAUGCGCUAAAACGCAUAACAUGAUGUUUCUGCAUUGCCAAAUAAGAUUCAGAAUUACACUGACCUAGAAAAUGUAGGAUGUAGUUUAGCCAUUGGAUAGAGAAUCGAUCCAAAUAUCAACGGAAAUGCUGCUCCAAUGGGAAUCUCGGCCAACAACUUGGAUGAAAGAUAUGGUCCAAGCGCAUAGGAACCUUUUGCACGUUCUCUGUCAACUAUAGUCCGUUCUUUCGGGAAAACUCCCAGAGUCUUUGUCAGUGCAGCCAUUGCUGUGUUUAUGGCAGCCACCUUAACUCAAAUAUUGAAAAUGAGAAAUAUCAAAUUCGAGAAAUGUUCAGAUAAUAUUUCAAGAACAACUUCUUGAAGAUACAACUGAAAACAAUCAUAUGAGAAGCCAAAUGCUAGAAGACAAUGAGAAUAUUAGAUAUAUCUUGAAUGCAAAAUAUGUACAAACUAGCAAUUCAACUCAAGAAACCAUCAAAAGGUUCACAAUAUUCUACCUGAAGUAGUCCCAUCCGGUCUUGUAUGGAUGUUUGAGAUUUCCCCAUUCGCCAGAACACUGAUCCAAAUAUAACUGCUGAAGCAGCAGACAUUCGUGCUCUCACUUUGUUUGUUGGUCCAUCACGAAAAGCCUGAACACAAAAGGCCCUAAGCAUUGUAAGAAGCAACUGAUGACAAGAGAUAGUCAAGCUUCAUCUUAACAUGUGUAUUCAACUGUCCCCAAAUAUCUUAUAGCUGUACAAGUACGGGAUUUCAAGUUUUGAACAUGCUUCUCCAAUCUCGUUAUUAUCAUGGGUUUCCUGUCCCAUUAAUUUAUCUCAUGCGAAGUUAUGAACAAUAAACUGUAUGUUUCAUAAAGAUCAGAAUUAGGUAAUAGGUCGAUGUAACAGAUAUUUUAGGUACAGAAUGUUAAAAUCACGGUCAGCUCAAGUCAUAAGCUAAACCUGAAAGUUCUGAAUUGGUAGCCUACAAAAUUGACCUACUGAGACUAAAAGAAAAUGACAAAACAAGCUGAGUAAUAUGGAGAAACUAGCCUUUUAAUGUGCCUAAAAACCAUCACACAAAAAGGUGAAAGUGUCUACCUGUGUCAAGGCAUCAAUAGAAAAAGAAAUAAUCAACAUAAAAGGGUGAAGCUGGGAAACACAAUGAAAAGAUAUAGAUUUAUUGAGAUGAACCUGCAUCCAUGCUCGCUUAAAAAGCAAACGAAAUUGUCUCCACCAACCACGCCUUUGCUUCAUACUAGACUUCUGAACAGCUUUGGCAGAAAAUUCAGAUUCCUCUGGUUUUGCAAUUGAACCGUUACCUUCAGUGGCCAGGGCUUUAUUAGAAAAGGCCUCAAUGAGGUUCUCAAUCCUUUUCUGCGAUGACUGUACGCUUUCAGCUGAGCCAUAAUCAACGGAAAUGAGAUCAGCCAAGAAUUCAGCAGGGUUCAUAUGAUCUGGACACUGAUACCUGAUAAAGUAUCAAAGUUCAAGUUAUUAAUUGAAAAUGACAUAGUGACCAUAUACGCCCUCCGUCCCAAAUUACUAUUCUUUUUGGCUUUUCUAUAUAUGGUAUGUCUAAGUACGUAGCAAAAGUCAUGUAACUAGAAAAGCCAAAACGAAUAGUAAUUUGGGACGGAGGGAGUACAUAGCAAAAUGCAAACAUUGAAAAUGCACACAGAGGCCAGAAACAUGCUGCAUGGCAUAAACAGGCAACGAUCAGCCCUUUCAAAGUUCAAGCAUAGUUAAUAUUGAAAUCUCGAUGGAAUCACAAGAAGGAUGAAUGUAGUGUGUUUCAAAGUAAUUAGUUUUAUUUGAGCAAAUGCAAACAUUGAAAAUGCACACAUGAUGGCCAGUAGAUUGUUUUGUUAUAUUCAAAAUAAGAAUAGGUUUGAGUAGGGUUGCCUGUUCAAUGUUCAGGACCAGAUAUGAAUUAUUUAUUAUGCACGACCAGGCAAGCAAAAAAGUGAGCACACACAAAAAAUAUGCAGGGCAACAUUCAAUUCAAGCAGAAAUCAUGAUAAUUACAUACUUAAGAAAACAAUAAGAAAAGUCAGGAAGGAUUGGGAAGGAUGUAGCAUAGCAACCCUAAUGAUGCGAAGUACGUUAGAGGUUCUUCUUUUGCAGGCCCCAUGUAUACAAUUUCUCCCUCUGAAAGUAGCACAAUGUCAUCAAAUUUGCCGUAGACUGAACCUCUUGGCUGAUGUAUAGAGCAGAUAACAGUGUGCCCAUCCUCAGCAAGCUGUCUAAGAGUCUCCAUGACCUUUUCUGCUUGGAAAGCAUCAAGACCUAAAAGACAGAUCACAAACAUGCAAAAAAUCAUAACUUCAUAUUUGUCAUUUCCCAUCUUGUCAAAUGACCAAAAAGAUAUUGAUGAUUAAUAUUUAAAAUGGAAUUUUUAAAAUUUUAUGCUAGCUCCCAUGGAUAUAAGAAUUGAAAGAAUGUAAAGCAUUCAACAAUAGGACUGAGCGGCCAAUGUCACAAGAUGGUGAGAGAGGAAAAAAGGAACUCUGAAUAGUAAUAAAAAAAAGAUUCAAAACACUAGUCAACUAAGUUAUAUUUCAGUUAAAAAAAGUAAGUUAAGUUCUUUACGUUUCACAAUUACAUAUUUAGAAUAUCUUCAACAUAAAUGUUUUCGAUAAUACCGACAAUUUAUUUUCAUCUGAUUCCCAGUAUCAUAUAUUAGAGGCACUGUUAGAUUUCUAAGACAUGAUAAAAAAUAUAGAAUACAUAGCACUAGCUACAUGCAAAAAGUUUCAGGUCUAAAUUCAAACCACAAUUAAGUGAUGAAGAGAAGUCUUGUUCAAGUAGGGAAGGCAAAGGGUAAAUCAGGCAAAAUACCUGUUGUUGGCUCAUCUGCAAAGAUGACUGAAGGACUAGCAAUCAGUUCACAUGCUAGUGAGAGGCGCUUCUUCUCACCCCCACUUAUACCUCGAACUUUCGCAUCACCAACAAUAGAAUCAGCACAAUUGACCUAUCCAACAAUCCAAGCAUUAAUACUGUUCUCGAAACUGUUCGAUUCAAUUUCUUGAAACACUAACCAAAACGGCAGCACUCACCAAUCCCAGACGAAACAAAAGAUCAUUUACAUAGCGCUCCUUCCUCUCAGGAGCCCACGUGUCAGUAAGCUGGAGUUCAGCAGCAAGCGAGAGCGUCUCCCGCACAGUAAGCUGCGAGAAGAACAGGUCUUCCUGCCUCACGAAAGCAAUCCUUCACAAGGGAACAGUCAUCAGUUCUUUACCCUGAACAAGAACAGAAAUAAGACCCCAACUGCAUGAGUAUAACUUACUUGUAACCAGUCUUCGAGAUAGGCCGGCCAUUGACAUACAGAAAGCCCGAAAGAUGCAAGGAAGGCGAAGCUGUGAGCUGCCCUGCUAGCACAUUGAGCAGAGUCGUUUUGCCAGACCCGGAUGGCCCCAUGAGCGCUAGCAGCCUCCCUGGUUUUGCCUCCCCUGACACAUUUGACAGCAGAAACCUUGCCUGGCAAUUGACAAAUGCCCAACAUGUCAUAAUCGUAUAUUUGUAUAGUAGAAUGCAAUUAUCUACUCCAGACACUUCAACUAUACAAAUCACGCGAUCUAUUCUACACCAAGGGAGUGACGGUCAACGAGUCAACGGCCCCAGUGCCAACCAAUCAUUAGAGUACACUUGGCUCUUCACUAGCGGCACUAUCACUGAACUGCAAAUCAAAGGAGAGGACGAUAGAGGCCAAUGCGAGGGUUUCGCACGCGCCGCUGCGGCGAGAUGGGAUGAGUGGUGCCGCCAUGGCGGCGGUAUCGACUCACCACUUCCCCGCGCUUGUUCUUCAGCGCGCACGUGAUGCGGGCCCAGCGGAUGGUCACGGGCGGCACGCCGCCGCCUCCCUCGCCGGCCUCCGCGUCGGUCUCGUCGCCCUCCGUGUCCUCCGCCGGCGGGAGGAGGGCGGGCCCGGGCCCGGCGAUGGCGCGGACGAAGAGCGCCGCGGCCAGCGCCGCCAGGAGCUGCCCCAGCCCCCUGACCUCCAUCGCCCUCGCCGGCGCCGAGGGCGAUCCCUCCACGGUCUGGAAGGUUCCGCAACGUCCGGGAAGGCGGCGGGGAGUGGUGGCAAGUGGCAGCGGGGUUGUGAGGGGGUUUAGCCUCUGCAGUCUGCGGGGUGUGAGGUGAGGAGCAGUUCGUGUGGUGGUGGUUAGUUUGUUGCGGCGUCAGCAGCAGAAGGAGAUGGGGGAAGGAGACGGAUGGGUGGCUGAACUGGGCCUUUUCUGGUGUGGGCCAGGCCGUACGUUUGUUUUUAGCUCGUUGCGCUGGCCUGUGAGGAAGUGGGCCAGGAUUGGGUUCAGGUUGGUGGCCAAGUGGGCCUUUGACAUCGACUAGAGUUGACGUCAAUGCAGGCGAGCAACCCGUCCGUGUCACUGAGCUAUCAUACGCAUUUUGCUAAAAAAAAGCUAUCAUACACACAGCCCAAUUGUAGCAGGCUAAUUUCCGUCCUUGGACCAUUUCGAUGUGUUUCUCUUCCGUGUUUCUUGGACUGAGCGAAUACGUUAAGAAAUGCUGGACGUUACUUUUGUGUACAUGAGGCGAUUGGGUGAGGAUAGUAGUGGUUUUCGACAUCUGAUGAUGAUCUGAUCCACGUCACGAUACAUCACACAUGGGUUUUAUCUGCGCCGGGCUGCUGCUUUUUUGUUGUAACGUGCGAACGAGUGAGGAGUACCUAAAUUACGAGAAAAGAUGCGAAAUGUGGCGCAUAGCUAAAUCAUCCCACUUAAAUUGGCCCUUUUGUAGUUUUGUAGCAACCACGUUCCAUAUGACAAUGAGAUUCUAAUAGAAAACUCGUACAAUAUACCACUCCCACUCUUCUACUUGUGGAUGGAAUCACCCUCUACCGAUCCCAUCUCUCAUUUCUCACGUCUCAUUGGGGCCACCUGUCAUGGUCUCUUUCUUUCAUGCAUAGGAGAUUAGGAGACUAUGUUAUGUACAGCUGAUUGCUGAACAUGCUGCUGAGUGCUUGACUUCCUCUAAUCCGGAUUCUAAAGCUGACUUCCUUCCGGAUCACCUGGCUUUAUAACUAGCUAGAUACCGUAUGAAGUCUUCUGCAGUUCGCUUCUCCUGCUCUCAAAACCCGCCAAAAAGAGGAGCAAGCGAAGAUAGUGUGAUGUACAAGUUAAGCAAGGUGAUCGAAGCGGAUUGCGGCCGAAGGAGCCAAACGGAAGAUUCGCAAUUGCAACUCCGCUUCGCUAAGAACGAAUUAAAAAUCGCCAAGCUGGCGAUGACGCCUGAGCCACCCUCUAGAAGCUAGAAGCGUCACCGCUGCUCGCCUCUGCCAGCCGGGGCCCACCAGGUGGACUCACGUCCUGCGCGAGGGAGAAAAGCCUACUCCUUUUCUUCCCAGCUACCCCCUCUUACCGCGCCCCCUGGCCCACGCGUCAGUGUCGCGUGAGGUGAGGCCGUGAGAGCGAAGCAAGCGCCGCUCGCUCGCCCCAUCCGACAGCUGACCCCGUGCACUGUCCGCUCUGACCCGCGGGACCCGCGCCCCCUGCCCUCCCACACGACCCACGCGCGCCCUCCCACUGACCGCGGGACCGGGGCCGGUGGGACCCGGGCGCCAGCGGCGCGCGGCGGUUCCCCUUGGUUGCGGUAAUACAAAGCGACAGGCGCCUCACGCUCGCGUCCCUCCUCUCCUUCCCCCACCCCUGUCUCUCUCUCACCCGUCUUGGGCCUUGUCUUCCCCGUGCCAAGUAAAAGAGCGAAACGCACACGCAGACGCGAGCAGGAGAGAUACACAAGAGCGCGCUGCCUGCGCGGCGGCAUCCCGAUCUCGCAUCCCCCCCAAUCCCCCUCCCCGAUGCGAUCUCGCCAAACCCUGAUCCCCCCGCCGCCCGCCACCCGGCCCGCGCCGGAGCCCUAGCCCCGAAUGCGGCGGUGGUGACGCGCGCGCCGCAGCGUCGCCCGCCACCACCGCUUUUUCCCAGCCCAUCCCACCCCGCCCGCCGACGCCAUGGGCGCCGCCGACAAGUGGCUGCUCCCGCUCGUCUCCGUCUCCUUCGUCUCGCUCCUGCUCUUCCUCUCCGCGCUCUCGGGCUUCUCCGCCUCCUCCGCGCUCUUCGCGCGCCUCCCGCCGCCCUCCUACGUGCGCAGGGGAGCCGCCGCGCCGCCCUCCUUCGCGUACCUGCUCGCCGGCGGCCGGGGCGACGGCAGGAAGCUCCUGCGGCUGCUCCUGGCCGUCUACCACCCCAGGAACCGCUACCUGCUACACCUCUCCGCGGACGCGCCGGCCUCCGAGCGCGCCGAGCUCGCCGCGGCCGUCGCGCGCGCCGCCCCCGCCGUGCGCGCGUUCGGGAACGUCGACGUCGUGGGGAGGCCCACCGCGGGCACCCCGAUGGGGUCCUCCGGCCUCGCCGCCACGCUCCGCGCGGCAGCCGCGAUGCUCCGGCUGGAUGCGGAGUGGGACUGGUUCGUCACGCUCAACGCCGCGGACUACCCUCUUCUCACGCAGGACGGUAAGAUUCGAAUGCUCGGCCUUCCUUCUGUUAGCGCGAUCUGUUCGAGCAAGGGGCAUUUCUGCUAACGCGGUCUUGUCCGGAUCUAAGGCAAAUCUGAGCUCCUUACUUGUCCUUCGUACAAUACAAGGAAAGUCGUUUCCUCAAAAUUGAGCUUGGGGAGACUUUCUAUUCUUGAAUUGGAGGCGGAACACGCUGUACGAACAGAUCAGGAAACUGCAAGGCGAGCAACCGCCUCUGUUCGGUUGAGGGGUCGCUGUAGCUAGGAAAAUCGAAUUUGUGUUCCUCACAGCAUGUUGCUGACUUCGUUUUAAGUGGUGUUUAAUGAUAUCUGUCAAGUUUGCAUAAUUGAAUGCGUAUUAUGCCGCAAAGGACUGAGGCAACACUACCCCACCUCGUCAGCAAUGAGCUAAGGAUUUUAGCCUUUUAGGUGGUUUUGGAAGAACUUGCUUGUUUGGAAUCCUGUUGGACUGUGGUAUGAUAACUGCCUUAGGUGAAAAUAUAGUACAACUACUAGAUUGGCAUGCUUUUGUCUUCUUCAUUUUCAAUGUUCCUACAAGCUCAACCACUCUCUGACUAAUUUCUGAUCCCAUCCUUAGACUGAUAUCCUCAAUUAGGGUUCUUUUCAUCAGAGAUGAGCUAUGCAUUUAGGUGAUUUUUGAAGAACUUGCUUGUUUGUAAUCCUGUUGGACUGUGAUACAAUAGCCGCCUUAGGUGGAAAUAUAGUUCAACUACUAGAUUUGGCAUGCUGUCUUCUUCAUUUUCUAUGUCCCUACAAGCUCAACCACUCUGUGACUAAUUUCUGCUCUCAUCCUUAUACUGAAAUUCCUCAAUUUUGGAGGUCUCGAAUUUAGGAUGCACUUUCCGAAGUGCUGCCACUUUUUAGGAUCAACGCUUUACACUGCUGAUCCAAAAUUGGAGUGCAGAUCUGACAUUAACAAAGGAAAAUAUGGGCAUGCGAAACCGAUUUUGGGUGGAUUUGUCGACCUCCCGCAAUUUUGAAGCAGAUUUCAGUCCGAAACUGCGAUCUGUCAAGGCUAAAGAAUCUUCAUAUAAUCAAUCCAGCUGCAAACGAACUACACGUAUACAAAGCCUACGAUAAGCUAUGUACUGGACUGGACACAUUGGCCCAAAGGAACCAAAAACAAAAAAC